AGGGAAAGUGGGAGGCAUGCCUUACACAUGCAAGUCGAACGGCAGCACGGGUGCUUGCACCUGGUGGCGAGUGGCGAACGGGUGAGUAAUACAUCGGAACAUGUCCUGUAGUGGGGGAUAGCCCGGCGAAAGCCGGAUUAAUACCGCAUACGAUCUACGGAUGAAAGCGGGGGACCUUCGGGCCUCGCGCUAUAGGGUUGGCCGAUGGCUGAUUAGCUAGUUGGUGGGGUAAAGGCCUACCAAGGCGACGAUCAGUAGCUGGUCUGAGAGGACGACCAGCCACACUGGGACUGAGACACGGCCCAGACUCCUACGGGAGGCAGCAGUGGGGAAUUUUGGACAAUGGGCGAAAGCCUGAUCCAGCAAUGCCGCGUGUGUGAAGAAGGCCUUCGGGUUGUAAAGCACUUUUGUCCGGAAAGAAAUCCUUGGCCCUAAUACGGUCGGGGGAUGACGGUACCGGAAGAAUAAGCACCGGCUAACUACGUG
rnacentral:rRNA from 1 species